rnacentral:tRNA from 1 species
UGGGGAUAGCUAAUUUGGUAAAGA